CCAUCAUCUUUCUUUUCUGUUGUUAUAUACUGAAAUAUUACUAAAUAUUUAUUCAGAAUAUAUACGUGAUAAGUGUUCUCUUGUUAUUGACAGUAAUAGAGUGUACUGUAUUUAUCUGCUUUUAUUUUUUAAAUUACAUAUCUCCACAACACAUUUACAGGUAGCUGACAGGCUAAAUGGCUUUUCCACUGCGUCAGGUACCAUACUUUAAGUACAGUACUUUUCUUUUUUCAGUGACUUCCGAUCAAGUUCCAGUAGCAAAAGUUCCAGGGCCUAAAGUACCAAAGCUGUGAUACUUUUUUGGUACUUCAGUACCUUAGGAUACGUAGAACUUGCAAAUGAGUUCAUUGUAGAUUGGUUAUGCAAAUAGCCUGCCUCUGAAACACAAUGAAAAGGCCAUCUUGAAAAAAGUUACAAACUCAGAAAACAACGAUACACAAAGUUAAAAAAAAAAGUUAGAAAAAAGUUAAUGUAUGUGUGGACAAAUAAAGAGACCCAAGCUCAGGCCUAGAGUGGCCAAUUGUACAAACAUUCUUUUCUCUGGAUUUGAGGUUUUAUCAAAUCCUUGCCCAGUUGUAGCAAAUGGAAAAAAACAAUGUUGGUUACUUGUACUAUUGUUCAAUAUCUCGGACGUCUCCCCUUAUGAUACAUUUUUCAUUUGGAUGGCACUGAAUCCAUAUUGGGACAAAUGAAAGCUCCCAAGGUAACUGUCUUAAAAAACUGGGCAAGGAAUUGAUAAGACCUCAAAGCCAAAGUGCUAUUUUGUGAAAAUGGUAAGGUAAAAUUUGACCAGUUUUCUUUUGGAAAUAGCCAAGAACCUCCACUUUCAAAAAGUAUGACUUAUUUAUAUCUUAUGGGAAAAUUCUGAGAAAGACCUGUCAAAAUUGGCUAAUAUAUGCAGACACAUAUAUUACCAUAGAUUUCAAAGUGCAUUUUCUUAAAAAUGGUACAGUAAAUUUUGGCCAAAUUUUGCCUAAAAAUAUCCUUGGGCCUUACCUUUCAGAAGGUUUACACUACGCUGGGCGGUAUACCGGUUCAUACGGAAAAACGUUUUUAUUAUUGUUAUGAUUUUUCAACAGUAUUUUUCAUACAGUAUAGCGCAAUACCGGUUUAAAUAGCCUGCACAAUGUUCGGAAAGUGGCGUAGCUGGAAACUGGGGAUCCUUUUUCACUGCUGCACCUCUAAAAAUGUACCGCGAAAGAUCAGAAACGGAAGAUAUAGCUGACGCUGAAGUUGAAAUUUGGUUGUCAAAAAAACGACUCUCAAAUACUAAUCGAUAUUAAAAAUUAAUAUCUGAUUAGAUACUCAUUUUCACCAUCAUUGACACCAGCAGUGCGGUCUUCCCCUCAUUCACCACACUUCACACAGUACCACUAAAGCGCAGGCGCACGUGCAUGCACGCACGCCCACACUCAUGCAGCCCCUCCCUUCCUCUCAAUAGCCGCUGAACGCAUUUGCGCUGGUUAAUACACACAUACCAAGUUGGCUGAGCAUGGCAUAUGCUGUAAAGAAAAAACGCAAAAGUGCCAUUUGGAAGUAUUUUGCAGACGAGCGUGGAAAGGCUAAGGAUGUCGAUAAGCCUCUAUGCAAACAAUGCUACAAAGUUGUGGCGACAAAGUCAAGUAGCACAUCAAACCUGGUGAAGCAUCUUAAAGACCGACAAACAGGUGUUCUGACAAAAUAUCCUACCUAUCAAGCUGUCCUACCCAUUGUUACUGCACAUGCGCACAACUCAAAACGGCCAUGUUUUCAUGCUAAGAGUACACGCCUAAUAUUUUAUCCUAUCCUGAUCUCGUGUGUGCGGAAAAAAGGUUAGUUUUUCGUGCAAAAAUAAUCUAAUUUGGAGUCUCAAUUGAAGUCAUGUUUCAAGUCUUCAUUUACUACUUCUAAACUUUUGUAAACUGGCAUACAUGUGUAAACCUUGUCAGCUAAUUUUAUUCCUCGUGCAGUUAGUGGACACCACAUUCAUUUUUUAUCUCGAAGAAAGUAAUAUUGCACUACAUACUUGCUAACUGAGUGAUAACAUGGUUUGUGCUCACCACUACGGAAGCAGGUGCGCUGGAGUGAAUACAGAUAGCUUGCACCCUACUUGAACAUCGAGUUUAUUUUAGGGAAUGCUGAGGACCACUGCAUUGUUUGUUCUAUGUUAGAUGCCGAAGCUGACCGCAGCAUGAUUGAAAUGGUGCAGUGUAAUUCUUGCCACAGAUGGGCACAAGGCACAAUUUAAAUAUGCAAAAUGAGCCAUCUAAAUUAAAAUGCAAAAAAUGUGAGGAAAGCAUGUAACAAGAUCUCAUAAAUACAGCUAUCUUUUCCCCCCAUUUCUUCUUGUAUUCUGUGUUAUCAUUAAAUGAAUGUGUGCUGGAAGCAUAUUUUGAUGGCGUAAUUUGGUCAUCAGAACGUCCUACCUAUAUAAAUAUAAGCAGGAAGCAUGUUAUGAUAGUGUAAUUUAACCAUCAGAACAUCCUACGUAUAGAUAUGUACCGUGGAGGCAUAAACCACGCAUGGUAGUAUAUUCUGAUAAGGUAGCACAGAUUGAUAGACAUGACUAUAAAUUUAUGCUACGGUAGGAUGUUUUGAUAAAGUGGGAUAUUUUGUCAGAACACCGGUCUUUAUAAGAAAUUUUGCAAGGUCAGUAAAGCUCACAUUCCAGCACCACUGAACUAUUAAACGCAUCAAAAAUGUUAACUUGGCCGGCGCACACCUUAACAUUAGCCGUUUAUUUUAUUUAUCCUUUAUUUUACCAGGAAGGUUCCAUUGAGAUACAGUAUCUCUUCUUCCAGGACGAAGAUGGCAACAAAUAAGAAAAAUAAGACAAAAGUUUCAUAUACAUACACACAGAGAUGAUUAAUAUAAACAUAAACUAAAACAUAUACAAAUACUCAAACUCUCCAAAAAUACCUAGAAUAAAAAUUUUUUAUAUGAAACAAUGACACUAUUCUUUAAGCUCAGACUUUUUGAAAACAUUCAGAGAAGGCAAGUCUAAAUUCAAUAUAUUUUGUAAUAUAUUCCAUUCAUGAGAUACAUAAGAACAAAAGGCAGAUUUCCUCAGUUCUGUGCGUGUGGUGGGAGGCUGAAGGAGAAUUUUAACUGAUGUAUGUUGUAUGUAUUAGUGAGAAAUGUCAGCAAAUGUACUGAGGUAAUUUGCCCAUUAAAGCCUUUGCAAUAAAAACCAGGCAAUGCAUUUUCCUUCUAAGAAAAGGAAAUUUAUAGGCUGUUUGCCAACAAACACAUUAGCUGUUUUAUGAUUAAGGUAGCGGAUAGGCGCAAUGGCUAAAAAUAAAAUACCACAGUUAAUGUAGGAGCAAUACAAAAAUGUAAAACAAAAGUGUGUCCUGUAAAAUCAUAUAAAAUGUGGUAAACGCCCAGUCAUACUUUAAAAAAAAUAAUAAUAAUAAUAACGUUGUAUAGCGUGAAAACGAUAUAACUGAAAAAUACUGUGAUAUAAAUUUUUGGUUAUACCGCCCAGCUCUAGUUUACACUUAUUUAUACUUUAAGGGAAAAUUCUGAGAAAUUACCUGUCAAACUUGGCUCAUAACACAACGGAUUUCAAAUUGAAUUUUCUUUAAAAUGGUACAGUAAAAAACAUAUUUUGUCUGGAAAUAGCCGUGGACCUUUCAGAUGGUUUACAAGUUAUGAGAAAGUAAGGAAUGAAUUGUAUCUACGUACAUCCUGUACUUCAUACAUAUGAGUAUGCAUCCUUUUCUCAUGAUCAAUCACUUAGAGUCUGUUAUUUUCCUAAGCGCGAGUUGAUGCCAUAAUGUUACAUCUAUGCCUUCACCACAAAUUUUAAACGUAGAUGAUUUAACCGCGUAUCGGCAAAGUGCAGAUAGCUUGACCACAGUAGCACAUUGCGUAUUUUAAAUGGAAGCACACUCAGCUGGAGUGCAGAAAUGGUGUAAGAAGGAGCAAGAUCCGAUGAAUGUGGUAGGCAGGUAUCUGAAGUCUCGCAUUGACCAUGAGGCACACGUUUUGCCCCGAUGUAAUCUCACUCCAAAUUUUUUAUUCAAUUUCAGAAUCUUGCAUGUUUCAUUUUUAUAUUUGCUUUUAUUUUUCUGCUAUACAUAUGAAGAAAUUUUCUUCUUGAAAUGUCAGUAAUACAUUUAUCGGAAUAAUAAGACUAACUUUUCGUCAUUCACGUAAUUCCCUUAGAAUUAGAGCAAUGAGCUUGUGCUCUCUGAGCCAAUCGUAAUCAUUUUCAUCUCACAGACGGUGUGGUGCAUUUGGAUGACUUUCGAAGGACUGAGAAAUCCGGAAUCUAGUCAAGUAGUCAAGAAUUAAAUUUUGAUAACUCGUUAAUCCAUGUACAAAGAACACCCCCUGAUUGUAAACAAUAUAAAAGUUUAGGUCCUGACGUGAAAACAUUCAGUUAGUGUUUCAGGUGGAAGCUAAUUGUUGUUUGGUUUAUUUCGUUAUAAAAAAAUGUUUUAUUUUACUGAAUACUUAUGCUUUAAAAUAUUAAGAUAUUUCAU